rnacentral:tRNA from 1 species
AGUAGAGUCAGCUAAUUAAGCUUUUGGGCCCAUACCCCAAACAUGUUGGUUAAAUUCCCUCCUAUACUA